UACAAAUACUCAGUCCUGCCACUUCCACUCUGCCAGAUCGUAAUCGCUGUUCAUUUUGCCGCUCUGACUCUGGUUCCUGUCUCCUGUUCCACAUCUCACCACCCUGCUACCCUGUUCUGGAUUCAACUCAUCACUCCCUUGGAUUCCCCUCCAGACCUGUUUACCCUGUCCUAACCCAGCUCACUCCAACCUCAGCCUCCACAUCUGGUUUCUUACAACUCAUCCAAGCUUCCCUGGGUCUGCACUUCAUCUCUCCCUGUGUUACAAUAAAUAUAUUGGUUCAUUCA